rnacentral:rRNA from 1 species
AACGCUAGCGGCAAGCUUAACACAUGCAAGUCGUGCGGCAACGAAAAACAGUUUACUGUUUUGACGGCGAGCGGCGAACGGGUGAGUAAUAUCUGGGAAACUACCCAAUGGAAGGGAAUAACUAUUAGAAAUGAUAGCUAAUGCCAUAUAAUGUCUUUAAAGACCAAAAGAGGUAUAUAAUAUCAUGCCAUUGAAUGUGCUCAGACGAGAUUAGCUAGUAAGUGAAGUAAAAGCUCACUUAGGCAAUGAUCUCUAGUUGGUCUGAGAGGACGACCAGCCACACUGGAACUGAGACACGGUCCAGACUCCUACGGGAGGCAGCAGUGGGGAAUAUUGCACAAUGGGCGCAAGCCUGAUGCAGCUAUGCCGCGUGUGUGAUGAAGGCCUUAGGGUUGUAAAACACUUUCAGUAGGAAAGAAAAAGAUUAAUUUAAUAUAUUAAUAAUUGACGUUACCUACAAAAGAAGCACCGGCUAACUCCGUGCCAGCAGCCGCGGUAAUACGGGGGGUGCUAGCGUUAAUCAGAAUUACUGGGCGUAAAGAGCGCGUAGGCGGUAUAUUAAGUCAGAUGUGAAAUCCCUAAGCUUAACUUAGGAACUGCAUUUGAAACUAAUAAACUAGAGUUUUGAAGAGGGGGGUAGAAUUCCAGGUGUAGCGGUGAAAUGUGCAGAUAUCUGGAGGAAUACCAGUGGCGAAGGCGACCCCCUGGUCAAAAACUGACGCUGAGGCGCGAAAGCGUGGGUAGCAAACAGGAUUAGAUACCCUGGUAGUCCAUGCCGUAAACAAUGUCAAUUUGAAAGUUGUAUCCUUGUGAUAUAGCUUUCGUAGCUAACGCGUUAAAUUGACCGCCUGGGGAGUACGACCGCAAGGUUAAAACUCAAAUGAAUUGACGGGGGCCCGCACAAGCGGUGGAGCAUGUGGUUUAAUUCGAUGCAACGCGAAAAACCUUACCUACUCUUGACAUCUAGAAAAAAAUUCAGAAAUGAAAUUUGUCCUAAAGGAAUUCUAAGACAGGUGCUGCAUGGCUGUCGUCAGCUCGUGUUGUGAAAUGUUGGGUUAAGUCCCGCAACGAGCGCAACCCUUAUCCUUUGUUGCCAUCGAGAAAGUCGGGAACUCAAAGGAGCCUGCCAGUGAUAAACUGGAGGAAGGUGAGGACGACGUCAAGUCAUCAUGGCCCUUAUGAGUAGGGCUACACACGUGCUACAAUGGUGUAUACAAAGAGUAGCUACCUCGCGAGAGCAUGCAAAUCUCAAAAAGUACAUCUCAGUCCGGAUUGGAGUCUGCAACUCGACUCUAUGAAGUCGGAAUCGCUAGUAAUCGUAGAUCAGCAUGCUACGGUGAAUACGUUCCCGGGCCUUGUACACACCGCCCGUCACACCAUGGAAGUGAGCUGUAAAAGAAGUAAUUAGCUUAAUCUAAGGAAGGGCAAUUACCACUUUGUGGUUCAUAACUGGGGUGAAGUCGUAACAAGGUAACCGUAGGGGAACCUGCGGUUGGAUUACCUCCUUA